rnacentral:rRNA from 1 species
AUGAACGCUAGCGGCAGGCUUAACACAUGCAAGUCGAGGGUAGAAGGAGCUUGCUCCUUUGAGACCGGCGCACGGGUGCGUAACGCGUAUGCAAUCUACCUUUUGCAGAGGGAUAGCCCAGAGAAAUUUGGAUUAAUACCUCAUAGUAUGUGAGGAUGGCAUCAUUUUCACAUUAAAGUCACAACGGCAAAAGAUGAGCAUGCGUCCCAUUAGCUAGUUGGUAAGGUAACGGCUUACCAAGGCUACGAUGGGUAGGGGUCCUGAGAGGGAGAUCCCCCCACACUGGUACUGAGACACGGACCAGACUCCUACGGGAGGCAGCAGUGAGGAAUAUUGGACAAUGGGCGCAAGCCUGAUCCAGCCAUGCCGCGUGCAGGAUGACGGUCCUAUGGAUUGUAAACUGCUUUUGUACAGGAAGAAACACUACUUCGUGAAGUAGCUUGACGGUACUGUAAGAAUAAGGAUCGGCUAACUCCGUG